UCCUGUAACCCAGAUGCCAGAGGAAAUGCAAAGAAAGGAGUGCAAUGAAGAUUUAAAGGAACAAAGGAAAGUCUGGCAAAAGUUGAAAAUUGACUUAGAAUUGCUCUGUGCUGAAUAAUCUGCUGUUGGGACUGCAGCGACGGAAUGCAUUCUCUCCGAACAUCAUGGGAAGAAAGCUGUCUAGACAGGAGGGAAUGCAAAAUGGAAAUUUGGUGGCAACAGUUUCUAUGACACAAGAUGAAGCCCCUUUCUCAAGAACACAGGCUCCCUGUGAGAAUGUGUCAUCUCCUCAGGAAUAAGAAGGGGAAAGCAUAUCAGGAGCUGCAAAUGUUUCAAUGCUCCCGCUAUCAUCUCUGUCCCGGAGGCUGGCACAGAUAAAUGCAUUCACAAUGAAAUGUCCUCUGAGCUCAUGCAGUCCUCCAGCACUGAAAGAGCUCAGCAAAAUGCAUGGAGGCAGACAAUGUCAGAGUCCAGGAAAGCACAAAAUGAAUGCAAGGACAGGAAACAUGCACUAGAGGACAGG